rnacentral:lncRNA from 1 species
GAUUCAACUGAUGGGGAGAAAAAGCAAAUUGGGAAAAAAUAAAUGUCCCUGCUCUCUAGAAGGGAAACACAGAUGGAGCCGCCCAGCCCUCAGCCUUCUGCGGGCUGCCCGGCCCAAGCUUCCUGCAGGUGCGGAGCUUUCCAGCACGCAGAGAGUUAAAGGCAUCAUCGCAGCCAUUAGAGGGAAAAGUUGCGGCGCCGCGAGCCCAGCGAAGUCCUCCAGCCCGCCCCCCUUGCCCACUCCCCGCUUCCCGAGCUGGCUCGGUGUUUAGGGAGGGCAGUGAUCACGCAAGCUGGAGCAGCGGGCUGACGUUGGACAAGCUGCCAGGUAGCUCAAAGCAGCCAGCCAGCAGCGGAGACACUUCCCGGCGUUUGAAGCCUGGGUCUGCACUAGAAGCCUCAGGAAUCCUAGCCAUCUGGUUUUAACCUUCGCGAAUUGCAUUCCCCUCUCCCCAAAGCCAGUCUUCACCCGCGGAGCGAGCAGCAAGAUAGGAUGUUUGCAGUGUCGCGCCCAGGGCUCUGAAACAGAGCCUCCUGAUACGCUUGCAUUCUCUUCUUUUAGGGCUUUUUGGCUGUUGGCUACACUGAUGUGACCCCCCCACUUUGGAAUGAUGGGGAUCUUUUUGGCAUAUGUUGGAAUUGUUUUCUUUUCCGUAUUAUAUGUACAACAAGGGCUUUCUUCU